AGCAGCUUGCUGCUUCGCUGACGAGUGGCGGACGGGUGAGUAAUGUCUGGGAAACUGCCUGAUGGAGGGGGAUAACUACUGGAAACGGUAGCUAAUACCGCAUAACGUCGCAAGACCAAAGAGGGGGACCUUCGGGCCUCUUGCCAUCGGAUGUGCCCAGAUGGGAUUAGCUAGUAGGUGGGGUAACGGCUCACCUAGGCGACGAUCCCUAGCUGGUCUGAGAGGAUGACCAGCCACACUGGAACUGAGACACGGUCCAGACUCCUACGGGAGGCAGCAGUGGGGAAUAUUGCACAAUGGGCGCAAGCCUGAUGCAGCCAUGCCGCGUGUAUGAAGAAGGCCUUCGGGUUGUAAAGUACUUUCAGCGGGGAGGAAGGGAGUAAAGUUAAUACCUUUGCUCAUUGACGUUACCCGCAGAAGAAGCACCGGCUAACUCCGUGCCAGCAGCCGCGGUAAUACGGAGGGUGCAAGCGUUAAUCGGAAUUACUGGGCGUAAAGCGCACGCAGGCGGUUUGUUAAGUCAGAUGUGAAAUCCCCGGGCUCAACCUGGGAACUGCAUCUGAUACUGGCAAGCUUGAGUCUCGUAGAGGGGGGUAGAAUUCCAUGUGU
rnacentral:rRNA from 1 species